AUGGUCGGUAAUUCACGUCCCUUCAGUCUAUCUGGCCUGGUUUCACGCCCCUUCAGUCUAUCUGGCCUGGUUUCACACCCCUUCAGUCUAUCUGGCCUGGUUUCACACCCCUUCAGUCUAUCUGGCCUGGUUUCACACAACCCUUCAGUCUAUCUGGCCUGGUUUCACGCCCCUUCAGUCUAUUGGCCUGGUUCACACCCUUCAGUCUAUCUGGCCUGGUUUCACACCCCUUCAGUCUAUCUUAGACACAGGAAGCUUGGUGCAAUAGAGAGGAGAAGAGAAGAGGAAACUGUCAUCAUGGUGGUGGUAGCGGCCAUGUUCCAGGUCACCUAGAGUGCAGUCCUGUUGCACAGACAAUCAGAUUGUUAAGUUAUAGAUAUACUGCAAUUUAAAAAUAUAUAUACAACUUUCUCAUCUAUGACCAAUUGGAUGUGCUCUGCAAAUGAGUACGUAGGAUUUCAUAUUACAAGAACUCUCAUCAAUUCAACUUAAUAACUAACAAACAACACGAGGGCGGCAGGGUAGCGUAGUGGUUAGAGCGUUGGACCAGAAGGUUGGACCAGAAGGUUGCAAGUUCAAACCCCCGAGCUGACAAGUACAAAUCUGUUGUUCUGCCCCUGAACAGGCAGUUAACCCACUGUUCCUAGGCCGUCAUUGAAAAUAAGAAUUGUUCUUAACUGAUUGCCUAGUUAAAAAGGUAAAUGUUUUAAUGUAGGUGACCUGGACAUGGCCCAUGCCUCUGGGCAUUCUGAAGUAAAAAAAAGUCAGAUAUUUGACAUCUUCCUGUAAUGCCCAAAUCAUAAUUCCACAUAGCCGAGUCUCUGACAUACUGCUUUUGUUCAUCAUUGGUCAUGAGUCAUGGAUGACAAGAGGCCACAUCAUUCGGGAAUGGAUAUGACGUCACAAAGGAACCAUCCAGUCUCAAUGUUCUCCUAACGGCUUCCCUCUGGAUCGACCAGUUCGGGUUCUAAAUCUUGGUUGGGAGCAUUAGGAUAGACUACCCACGACUACAUUACAAUCCAGUUGAAGUGGGAAGUUUACAUACACUAGGUUGUGAGUCAUUAAAACUCGUUUUUCAACCCACUCCACAAAUGUCUGUUAACGAACUAUAGUUUUGGCAAGUCGCUUAGGACAUCUACCUGUGCAUGACACAAAUACUUAUCCCAACAAUGUUACAGACAGAUUAGUUCACUUUAUUACAAUCCAGUGGGUCAGAGUUUACAUACACUAAGUUAACUGUGCCUUUAAACAGCUUGGAAAAUUACAGAAAUGAUGAUGUCAUGCCUUAGAAGCUUCAUAGGUUAAUGACAUCAUUUGAGUCAAUGGAGGUGUACCUGUGGAUGUAUUUCAAGGCCUACCUUCAAACUCAGUGCCUCUUUGCUUGACAUCAUGGGACAAUCAAAAUAAAUCAGCCAAAAUCAGACCUCAAAAAAUAUUGUGGACCUCCACAAGUCUGGUUCAUCCUUGGAGCAAUUUCCAAAACGCCUGAAGGACCACAUUCACUGUACAACAAUAGUAUGCAAGUAUAACACCAUGGGACUACACAGCCGUCAUACGCUCAGGAAGGAGACAUAUUCUGUCUCCUAGAGAUGAACGUACUGUGGUGCGAAAAGUGCAAAUUAAUCCUAGAACAACAGCAAAGGACCUUGUGAAGAUGCUGAGGAAACAGGUACAAAAGUACUAUAUCCAAAGUAAAACGAGUCCUAUAUCGACAUAACCUGAAAGGCCGCUCAGCAAGGAAGAAGCCACUGCUCCAAAACCGCCAUAAAAAGCCAGACUACGGUUUGCAACUGCACAUGGGGACAAAGAUUGUACUUUUUGGAGAAAUGUCCUCUGGUCUGAUGAAACAAAAAUAGAACUGUUUGGCCAUAAUGACCAAAGAACACCAUCCCAACCGUGAAGCACAGGGGUGGCAGCAUCAGUUUGUGGGGUGCUUUGCUGCAGGAGGUGUGCACUUCACAAAUAGAUGGCAUCAUGAGGCAGAACAAUUAUGUGGAAUAUUGAAGCAACAUCUCAAGAUAUCAGUCAGGAAGUUAAAGCUUGGUAGCAAAUGGUCUUCCAAAUGGACAAGAUCCCAAGCAUACUUCCAAAGUUGUGGCAAAGGCUAAGGACAACAACGUCAAGGUAU
ensembl:lncRNA